ACCGUGAGGGAAUGGUGAAAAGUACCCCGGGAGGGGAGUGAAAUAGUACCUGAAACCGUGUGCCUGUAAGCCGUCAGAGCCUUGUGGGGUGAUGGCGUGCCUUUUGAAGAAUGAGCCUGCGAGUUAGUGAUACGUGGCGUGCUUAACCCGUGUGGGGUAUGCGUAGCGAAAGCGAGUCUGAAAGAUGGCGUUUGUCGCGUGUUCUAGACCCGAAGCGGGGUGAUCUACCCAUGGUCAGGUUGAAGCAGAGGUAAGACUGUGUGGAGGACCGAACCCACCAGGGUUGAAAACCUGGGGGAUGAACUGUGGGUAGGGGUGAAAGGCCAAUCAAACUCCGUGAUAGCUGGUUCUCCCCGAAAUGCAUUUAGGUGCAGCGUUGCGUGGUCCCUGGUGGAGGUAGAGCUACUGGAUGGCCGAUGGGCCCUGUGGGUUACUGACGUCAGCCAAACUCCGAAUGCCAUUAGGUGUAGCGUGGCAGUGAGACUGCGGGGGAUAAGCUUCGUAGUCGAGAGGGAAACAGCCCAGAUCAUCAGCUAAGGCCCCUAAGCGUGCGCUAAGUGGGAAAGGAUGUGGAGUCGCGGUGACAACCAGGAGGUUGGCUUAGAAGCAGCCAUCCUUGAAAGAGUGCGUAAUAGCUCACUGGUCAAGUGGUUCUGCGCCGACAAUGUAGCGGGGCUCAAGCGUACCGCCGAAGCUGUGGCAGCAACACGUGGUGCUGGCGCCUUUUAUUGGUUGUUGGUGUGUUGUUGGGUAGGGGAGCGUCCUGCAUGAGGUGAAGCCUGGAGGUGACUUCUGGUGGAUUGUGUGGGAGUGAGAAUGCAGGCAUGAGUAACGAAUCUGCGGUGAGAAUCCGCAGCGCCGAUUGACUAAGGGUUCCAGGGCUAGGUUUAUCCGCCCUGGGUUAGUCGGGUCCUAAGGCGAGGCCGACAGGCGUAGUCGAUGGACAACCAGUUGAUAUUCUGGUACCGCGUUGUGACCGUCCAUGCUGAAGUCAUUGUGCUAACCAAUUUGCUCACACCACCACGUAACCUUCGGGUUUGUUGGUGUGUGUGGGUCUUGGGGUCCCGGUGAUUGUAGGCAAGCGUGUUAACAGGGGUGACGCAGACAGGUAGCUGCAGUGCGCCGAUGGUUGUGCGUAUUUAAGGUUGUGGCCCGUCUCCUAGGUAAAUCCGGGGGGCACUGUGGGUGAGAACUGAUGAGGGUGACACGGUUGUGUUGUCUUGUGGUGAUCCUAUGCUGCCAAGAAAAGCCUCGACGUGAGGGCAUGACGCGCCCGUACCCUAAACCGACUCAGGUGGUCAGGUAGAGUAUACCGAGGCGUUCGAGUGAAUCGUGGUUAAGGAACUCGGCAAAAUUCCUCCGUAACUUCGGGAUAAGGAGGACCCCGUGACUUCCCAAUGCUUUGCGUGUUGGUGGGGUUGUGGGGUCGCAGAGAAUAGGGAGAAGCGACUGUUUAUCAAAAACACAGGUGCGUGCGAAGCCGUAAGGCGAUGUAUACGCACUGACGCCUGCCCGGUGCUGGAAGGUUAAGAGGAACUGUUAACAUUCUUUGUGGGUGUGAAGCGGUGAAUUUAAGCCCCAGUAAACGGCGGUGGUAACUAUAACCAUCCUAAGGUAGCGAAAUUCCUUGUCGGGUAAGUUCCGACCUGCACGAAUGGCGUAACGACUUCUCCGCUGUCUCGACCGCGAACUCGGUGAAAUUGCAGUACGAGUAAAGAUGCUCGUUUCGCGCAGAAGGACGGAAAGACCCCGGGACCUUUACUAUAGCUUGGUAUUGGUGUUCGCUUGGACUUGUGUAGGAUAGGUGGGAGACUGUGAAGCUGCCGCGCCAGCGGUGGUGGAGUCGUCGUUGAAAUACCAUUCUGGUUUAAGCGGUCACCUUAACCUUGGCCCGUGAUCCGGGUUGGGGACAGUGCCUGGUGGGUAGUUUAACUGGGGCGGUUGCCUCCUAAAAUGUAACGGAGGCGCUCAAAGGUUCCCUCAGCCUGGUUGGUAAUCAGGUGGCGAGUGCAAGUGUACAAGGGAGCUUGACUGUGAGACCGACGGGUCGAGCAGGUGCGAAAGCAGGAACUAGUGAUCCGGCCAUGGCACGUGGGUGCGUGGUCGCUCAACGGAUAAAAGGUACCCCGGGGAUAACAGGCUGAUCUUGCCCAAGAGUCCAUAUCGACGGCAUGGUUUGGCACCUCGAUGUCGGCUCGUCGCAUCCUGGGGCUGGAGCAGGUCCCAAGGGUUGGGCUGUUCGCCCAUUAAAGCGGUACGCGAGCUGGGUU
rnacentral:rRNA from 1 species